UGAAUACGAGAUGCUACGGCGUCGAAGCAGUCUAUGUCAUACUUCCAAGAAAAGCUCGCACUGUCAUAAACAAAUAAUGCCUGUACCAUAACCGACACAGGUGGGUAGGUAGAGUAUACUAAGGGGCGCGAGAUAACUCUCUCUAAGGAACUCGGCAAAAUGACUCCGUAACUUCGGGAGAAGGAGUGCCUUAUUUAUAAGGUUGCAAUAACAAGAUCCAAGCAACUGUUUAUCAAAAACACAGGUCUCCGCUAAGUCGUAAGACGAUGUAUGGGGGCUGACGCCUGCCCAGUGCCAGAAGGUUAAAGAAGUUGGUUAGCAUUCGCGAAGCUGAUAACUGAAGCCCUGGUGAACGGCGGCCGUAACGAUAACGGUCCUAAGGUAGCGAAAUUCCUUGUCGGGUAAGUUCCGACCCGCACGAAAGGCGUAAUGAUUUGGAUACUGUCUCGGAGAGGGGCUCGGUGAAAUAGACUUGUCUGUGAAGAUGCGGACUACCUGCACCAGGACAGAAAGACCCUAUGAAGCUUUACUGUAACUUGAGAUUGAAAUUGGACUUUACUUGCGCAGUAUAGGUGGGAGGCGUUGAUAAUAUUCUUGCGGGAUUAUUUGAGCCAUCAGUGAGAUACCACUCUUGUAAUGUUAGAUUUCUAACUUUGUAUCAUUAUCUGGUCAAAGGACAGUUUCAGGCGGGCAGUUUGACUGGGGCGGUCGCCUCCUAAACGGUAACGGAGGCGCACAAAGGUUUCCUCUGAACGGGUAGAAAUCGUAUCUAGAGUGUAAAGGCAUAAGGAAGCUUGACUGUGAGACCUACAAGUCGAGCAGGGACGAAAGUCGGUCUUAGUGAUCUGACGGUGCUGAGUGGAAAGGCCGUCACUCAACGGAUAAAAGUUACUCUAAGGAUAACAGGCUGAUCUCCCCCAAGAGUUCACAUCGACGGGGAGGUUUGGCACCUCGAUGUCGGCUCAUCGCAUCCUGGGGCGGUAGUACGUCCCAAGGGUUGGGCUGUUCGCCCAUGAAAGCGGUACGCGAGCUGGGUUCAGAACGUCGUGAGACAGUUCGGUCCAUAUCCGGUGUAGGCGUUAGAAUAUUGAGAGGAGCCUUCUUUAGUACGAGAGGACCGAGAAGGACAUACCUCUGGUGUACCAGUUAUCGUGCCAACGGUAAACGCUGGGUAGCUAUGUAUGGAGUGGAUAACCGCUGAAAGCAUCUAAGUGGGAAGCCCACCUCAAGAUAAGUAUUCUCAU
rnacentral:rRNA from 1 species